CUACGUGCCAGCAGCCGCGGUAAUACGGAGGUUGCGAGCGUUAUCCGGAUUUAUUGGGUUUAAAGGGUGCGUAGGCGGCCUGUUAAGUCAGCGGUGAAAUCUAGGAGCUUAACUCCUAAAUUGCCAUUGAUACUGGCGGGCUUGAGUGUAGAUGAGGUAGGCGGAAUGCGUGGUGUAGCGGUGGAAUGCAUAGAUAUCACGCAGAACUCCAAUUGCGAAGGCAGCUUACUAAGGUACAACUGACGCUGAAGCACGAAAGCGUGGGUAUCAAACAGGAUUAGAUACCCUGGUAGUCCACGCAGUAAACGAUGAUAACUGGGCGUAUGCGAUAUACAGUAUGCUCCUAAGCGAAAGCGUUAAGUUAUCCACCUGGGGAGUACGCCGGCAACGGUGAAACUCAAAGGAAUUGACGGGGGCCCGCACAAGCGGAGGAACAUGUGGUUUAAUUCGAUGAUACGCGAGGAACCUUACCCGGGAU
rnacentral:rRNA from 1 species